rnacentral:rRNA from 1 species
UAGGGAAUUUUCGGCAAUGGGGGCAACCCUGACCGAGCAACGCCGCGUGAACGACGAAGUACUUCGGUAUGUAAAGUUCUUUUAUCAGGGAAGAAUGGCUUACGGAAAAGUGAGCGUGACGGUACCUGAUGAAUAAGCCCCGGCUAACUAUGUGCCAGCAGCCGCGGUAAUACAUAGGGGGCAAGCGUUAUCCGGAAUUAUUGGGCGUAAAGGGUGCGUAGGUGGCCGUUUAAGUCUUUGGUGUAAGUGCAAGGCUCAACCUUGUGAUGCUAAAGAAACUGGAUGGCUUGAGUGUGGUAGAGGCAAGUGGAAUUCCAUGUGUAGCGGUAAAAUGCGUAAAUAUAUGGAGGAACACCGGUGGCGAAGGCGGCUUGCUGGGCCACAACUGACACUGAGGCACGAAAGCGUGGGGAGCAAACAU